CAGUAGCCGCGGGAAUACGGAGGGUGCAAGCGUUAAUCGGAAUUACUGGGCGUAAAGCGUGCGUAGGCGGCUUCUUAAGUCGGAUGUGAAAUCCCUGAGCUUAACUUAGGAAUUGCAUUCGAUACUGGGAAGCUAGAGUAUGGGAGAGGAUGGUAGAAUUCCAGGUGUAGCGGUGAAAUGCGUAGAGAUCUGGAGGAAUACCGAUGGCGAAGGCAGCCAUCUGGCCUAAUACUGACGCUGAGGUACGAAAGCAUGGGGAGCAAACAGGAUUAGAUACCCCCGUAGUCCCUGUCUCUUAUAC
rnacentral:rRNA from 1 species